AGCCCAGCAAUUCCUAUCCCUACCUCCUCGCGGUACCGGCUGGAAACUAUGAGCAACCUUAGGGAAGAUCGGGUUGGAACUUUGGUCGUAGGCUGACAGGAAAGG
rnacentral:ribozyme from 1 species